CGGACGGCUGAGUAAUGCACAGGAACGUACCCAGAAGUCGGGCAUAACCUGUCGAAAGGCAGAAUAAUUCUCGAUAGUCUCGCAAGAGUAAAGUUUUUCGCUUCUGGAGCGGCCUGCGCAGUAUCAGUUAGUUGGUGAGGUAAUGGCUCACCAAGACUAUGACGCUUAGGGGAGCUGAGAGGCUGACCCCCACCGAUGGGACUGAGACACGGCCCAU
rnacentral:rRNA from 1 species